rnacentral:rRNA from 1 species
UGGGGAAUUUUGGGCAAUGGGGGCAACCCUGAUCCAGCCAUGCCGCGUGAGUGAAGAAGGCCUUCGGGUUGUAAAGCUCUUUCGGCCGGGGAGAAAUCGCAUAGGUUAAUACCCUGUGUGGAUGACGGUACCGGAAUAAGAAGCACCGGCUAACUACGUGCCAGCAGCCGCGGUAAUACGUAGGGUGCGAGCGUUAAUCGGAAUUACUGGGCGUAAAGCGUGCGCAGGCGGUUUCGUAAGACAGAGGUGAAAUCCCCGGGCUCAACCUGGGAACUGCCUUUGUGACUGCGAAGCUAGAGUACGGCAGAGGGGGGUGGAAUUCCACGUGUAGCAGUGAAAUGCGUAGAGAUGUGGAGGAACACCGAUGGCGAAGGCAGCCCCCUGGGCCGAUACUGACGCUCAUGCACGAAAGCGUGGGUAGCAAACA